GGGGGCGAACGGUUUUGACGGAGUGACUGAGAAGUUUGAGGGCAUAGCGAGUUGCUUCGGUAUUCUCGUUAAAAAGCCGAAGAACAAACAGCUGCCAAUAACAGCUUUGCACUGGCUGCUUAAUUAAAGCAACCACCUUAUGCUAACAGUUCACUCGGGUUAGUAAUAGGGUCUAUUAGAGUGAUUAAGGUUUCAAUUAUGUCUUGUGGUUGGAACCGGAUUACUUAAUAAGACUGGCUGGUUUUUGCCUGUUAUCCGGCGAAAAGACCGGCGAGAUUUAAAGAAUAACUAACUAUGUAGAACUCAAAUUUCAAACGCUUCGGACGCGGGUUCGAUUCCCGCCGCCUCCAUUU
rnacentral:tmRNA from 1 species